ACUGUUAUAGUUUAUUUAUUAUUUUUAAUUCGUCGUCGUCUCGUCGACUCGUUCUAGCUGUAACUAUAUGAAUAAUACCUCUACUAUGUUAUAGCGUUUUAGUAGUAUACAAUAUGUACCACUGGUCAUUGGUUCGAUGUCGCCGCAUACUUAUAGUCUUACUACAUUUUCUUGGCGAAUCAUAAUAAUUGCAUGUGUAUAAUUAUAUUAUUGUAUACAUUCAGGCAACAGGUGCAGUAAUAUAAUAAUGAGUUGAAUAAAAAAAAAAGUACUGGUGACGUUAAAAAACCGUUAGAAAACCAACGGUCGUAAAACUGUAGGUAUAUACAGUAUAAAAAAAACGAAAAAACGAGUUCCUGAUAUACAUUCUGACGUCUGGGUGAUCAUCAGCUAUACCUCGUAGAUACGUCGUGACGUGGAUCAUUACGAUAAUAUGUGUAUCGCCGAUACGUUUUUGAGUGGACAUAACAUGUACGCGUAUAUUAUUAUACAUUAUCUCUCUCCUCUUAAUGAAACUUUAAAAAUCAACCAACAUUAUGGCAGAAAUGUACAUAUUUUGACAUUUAAAAUGUCUCCGUAGACUAUAUUUCCGUAUUAGCAAUAUUAAAUGCAUUAAAAAUUACUAUAUUUUAAAUUAAAUUUGUUACUUUAAUCACGAUUAUCACUACUGUAAAUAUACUUGAAAUUGGAAAAUGUGUCCGUAAAAUAAAUGAAUAAAAAAAAUUGACCACCUAAGAUUUAAAAAAACGCAAACACUUAUUCGCUUUUGAGCUAUUUGUCUCUUAAAAACGACAUACAAAGUUAUAAACGAUGGUGCCAAAAAGAAGAAUGUGGUUUUCAAAAUUUUACCAUUUCGCACACAUUUUCUCCUCCCAACCAUGUUGAAACGCUUAAGUACUUAUAGCAUUUAACCAGGCGGUGGUCCAUGCAGCUAUAAAUGUGCAGCUGCAGCAGUCGUUAUUAUAAUAUUGUCAACGCGCCACCGACUGACGCGUAUUGUAUAAUAUACGAAAUUUUUCAUUAUAUUAUUACUAUAGUUUAAUACUCUCUCGUAUAGUACACGAAUACACGAUAUUAUAACUAUCUGUUAUCGUGCCACACACAACGAAAACGGCCGCGCGGCUAAUAGCCAUCAUCAUACAGAAAAAGGCGUGUCAUUGGAAACAUUUUUUGUUUCAUUAUAUUUCAUAUUAUUUCAAAAUAUAAAGACCCAAAUGCCGACGGAUACCUAUCGACCUCGGGGAACGAACUCGCCUUUUUCUGUUAUGUCUUAUUAAUUUAUAUAUUAUUUUUUUUUCGUACGUGGGCAAUGGACUUAUUAUACGCGAGAGUCGUAAACGGGCCAGAGAGACCUAACGAGCAGUACGCACAUAAUAUUAUGUAUAUAAAAUUGUUUGUAUAUUACAACUGCCGGAUACCCCCAAGGCCUCACAUAUAUAAGUAUAUAAAUAGGUAUGUACUAAUGUACUAUAUAAUAUAUUAAUAUAUAUAGAACACUAUUGGAUACGACCGACUGCCGAGAUGACAACAAACCGUAUAAUAUGUACAAAAUCCACCAGUCACCAUGUUAUUACAUAUUAUUGUUAUAUAAUAGCCGAUGUUCUGUUGAUAUUAAUAAAGGUUGUUUCUGACUGCUCGCACGAUUCUGUUGACAUAAUUAGUUGAU